rnacentral:rRNA from 1 species
AUCACUAAGCGGAGGAAAAGAAACUAACAAGGAUUCCCUUAGUAGCGGCGAGCGAACCGGGAGAAGCCCAGCUUGAAAAUCGCGUCGUUUCGGCGACGCGAGUUGUAGUCUGGAGAAGCGUCCUCUGCGGCGGACCCGGCCUAAGUCCCCUGGAAAGGGGCGUCAGAGAGGGUGAGAACCCCGUCGGGCCGGGACCCUGCUGCUCCACGAGGCGCUGUCGACGAGUCGGGCUGUUUGGGAAUGCAGCCCUAAGUGGGAGGUAAAUUCCUUCCAAGGCUAAAUACGGGCGGGAGACCGAUAGCGAACAAGUACCGCGAGGGAAAGAUGAAAAGGACUUUGAAAAGAGAGUCAAAAAGUGCUUGAAAUUGCUGGGAGGGAAGCGAAUGGAGGCCUCGUGUGCGCCCCGGUCGGAUGCGGAACGGCGCGAGCUGGUCCGCCGCUCGACGCGGGGUGCUGGUCGGCGUGGGCUUCUCCGGCGGGACAAAAGUCCGCCCUCAUUUUUGGGUGGCGGGCCGAUGCCGUCGGGGAGGCCGAGGAAUCGAAGUGCGCGUCCUCCGGGACGGGCUCUUCGGAGCACCUGCGCACUCGAGA